UACGUAGGCAGCGAGCGUUGUUCGGAGUUACUGGGCGUAAAGCGUGCGUAGGCGGUGGUCCAAGUCUGGUGUGAAAUCUCCCGGCUUAACUGGGAGGGUGCGCCGGAAACUGGACUGCUGGAGUGCGGGAGAGGUAAGCGGAAUUUCCGGUGUAGCGGUGAAAUGCGUAGAUAUCGGAAGGAACAUCAGUGGCGAAAGCGGCUUCCUGGACCAGUACCGACGUUCAGGCACGAAAGCGUGGGGAGCAAACAGG
rnacentral:rRNA from 1 species